CCAAUAGCGUAUAUUAAAGUUGUUGCAGUUAAAAAGCUCGUAGUUGAAUUUCGGGGUUAGCAGGUCGGUCGUGCCAUUGGUAUGAACUGGUCUCGCUGAUCCCUCCCUCUUGACGAACUGUGAUGCCAUUAAUUUGGUGUCGCAGGGAAUCAGGACUGUUACUUUGAAAAAAUUAGAGUGUUUAAAGCAGGCUUUAGCUUGAAUACAUUAGCAUGGAAUAAUGAAAUGGGACGUUUGAUCCUAUUUUGUUGGUUUCUAGGAUUGACGUAAUGGUUAAUA
rnacentral:rRNA from 1 species